rnacentral:miRNA from 2 species
AAAUUCGUAUCUAGGGGAGUA